AACAUGCAGAUGAAAUGCAGAUGAUGACAUGGCAAAAUGCAACACGCAAGCAAACGACAUGGCAACGACGACGAAUAACUGGAUGACACCUGGCGCAUAGAAUCCGGGGCGUUACAUUAGCCCCCUCAGAAUGUGUUGUAGUUUCCUUUCGCCCCUCCAUGGACAAGGAUUGGGUAAUGUUGGACUAUUAUAUAUACACAGAUUAUGACACACACAGCGAAAACAUAUAUCACAUCUAGUAAAGUAAAUAUAAUAUAAUUUGUCUUCAGGCGAUAUUGAUCCCGGUAGUCAAUAUCAAAACACAGGGCAUGGGUAUGUGUUUUUUCCCGUUGCAACGCACGGGCAGUUUUCGUAGUAAAAUAAAAAAGAAAGGAAAACCAGUCAUGGAGGAUUAACAAAAAAGGAAGAAACCAGAAAGAACCGUGAAGAAAAAAAAUACGUUUCCUAGGUAUUUGGGCCGGGGCCCAUAUGCGGUCUGUUCGGCUAGUAGGAAAACCCUAUUUGCCGCUCGAGCAGAGCAAGGGAUUCGUCAGGCGGCGGCGGCUCGCGAGUACGAGCUCGACGGCGGCUGAGCAUCGUCGGGUUCGGGAGUUGGAGACUCGCAAGUACGAGUACCCACGUGGGUCUGUAGAUCGAGAGAGCAGUCAGGCGGCGGCGACUCGCGAGUACGAGCUCGACGGCGGCUGAGCAUCGUCGGGUUCGGGAGUUGGAGAGGAUGAGGGGGAGGCGCGGCGGCGCGGCGGGCGCCUGGGGUCUCGGCAUCCGACCUCAGGUCCAAGCUGCCGACGGAGGCUGUUGCGCCGCGAGCACGCUGAGCCUGAGGUAGCUGGACGACGGCCAGAGCGAUGCACGAGGAGGCGAGCCCGAGGGCGUCUUCGUCCAGAUCUCCUCACGCCGGUGCGCAUGGCGCCUCCUGCCGCUGGUUCCGCCUGCCGGUCGCGACGCGGUAAACGAACAGAGCAUGUGCUCGCGGCGGAGGAUGCUCUCUCGCUCCCGCGGAACGCUCGCCUCGCCCGCCACCACGGACAAGGCAACAAAAUGGAGCAUAUUCCAGAAGGAUUUAUUUUGCACAUAAAAGUGAUGGCUUGGGCCUUCGGCACCAUGGUGGCAUCAGUUUGCACGUUGUCGCUCCACUUGUAUUGCUGGUUGCAAAGAAAGGUGCGAACAGUCCAUUAGGAGGUGAAACUUAAGCACUAUAUUGUGAAAAUUUCCCUAGCGUUGUGCGAGCUGCUGCUGCUGCAUUUAAAUCGGUUUGUCCAAAUCAACAGUCCGAGGCUCCAACCGAUGCAGUCGCGACCCCACCUCUAUAUCAGCUCACCACCCAACCAGUUACACUCAGUUAUGUCACAGUUUUGAUUCAUUCUACAGAAUUAUUGGAACUCUGGAAUGACUAAAUCCCAAUUCUGCUUCAAAGGGUUGGGUACUCUCCGAUAUGCAUAGAGAUCAGGUUCUUCAAGGGCAUCAUCAUAUUCUUCACCUUCUAAAGAUUCAUCUUCCUCCUUGUUGCCGCCAUCGUCAUUUUCCUCCUCUUUAGGCGGUGCGGCGGUCUUCCCCUUGGUAGGAGCGCGGCGAGCCGCAGUCACCUUCACUAGCUCCAGCUCGAGCAGUGCUGCCAUCGCUGGGCUCAGAGCUUGCCCAAGCAGCAAAGGUAUGGAUAGGAAGGCGGCGAAAGCCGCGAACUACUGCAAACAUCAACAAGUCAAGGCAAAAUGAAGAAGAGAAGAAAAGCCACUAUGAAUCUUAUGGCCACACGGCCCCGGGCUCGAGAACACUUACGUCACUUGAGGGUUGGCAGCGCUAAAAGGCUCCAUUGCGACAGUGAGCGGAAUUUUGUUUGACCCUAGAUCUUUUAGGGUGUCGAUGCGGGCUCGCAGCUCGUCGUUGCCGAGCUCUUGUGCCGUUGCCUGAGUCGGAUUUUAAGUCCCCAUGUAAAGAUACAUGGGGUGAGUCCGAGUGGCUGGACUCGUCGCUCGAGAUACGUCUUCAAGACUUGCUCCCCGGUCAGCCCGCGGUCGAUCAGGCUCUCCCCCCGUUGAUCAGCCCUCGGGCAUUGUUGGAUGUCUUCUUCAUCGGCUUCCAAGAUCUCUCAGAUGCUUGGGUGGCUCAUUGAUGAAAGGCAACAGAUCUCCCGCGAGCCCCGAAGCAUAGAACCCUUAUGCCAGUUGUAGACUGACUUUGCCAAAGCAAUCUUGAAGUAGUUCGAUUCAAGCUGGAGCUGGAGGUUUGGCGCCUUCACCAGGUCGCGGAUAUCAUCGCCAUUCUUCUAGACCUUCACCAGGAAGUAGUAUCAAAAUAACUCGAAGUUUGGGUUCGUCGCGAGGAAGCAUUCGCAAAGGGUGAUGAAGUUGGCGAUCGGAGAAUGGUGUUGGGUGUCAAAUGAUGCAAUUGACACCCGUAGGAGAACAGAAGCCCGCACACAAAGCUGUGCAGCGGGAAAGCCAAACCUCGACAAAAGAACUGCUAGUGCAACACUCGCUUGUGCCGACCGGUGCCAGGAUGGCCUCGGCCCCCGCCGUCCUCCAUUGAAGUACCUCCCAAGGCAGCAGAAAGUCGUCUUGAACCAACACAGUGGAGAAGAACCACUUGUCUGUGGUCUCGCCCGCCUCCUCGUUGGCGGAAGCGUUGUCCUUCCACUCGUCAGCGGUGGUGGCCUUCGGAACGCUCCGGCCACGACCUCGACCGCGGUCUCCCUCGACUCGCACCAUCAACGGCUCGCUUGGGUGGAGAAGGAAAGAAAGGGAGGGCUCGAGGAGCAAGAGCUUGUGACAAUGGCGGUUCCGACGGGGGAGGGAGAAGCAGUAGCGGAAUCUACGAGAUGAACAGAGGAAGUGGGGAAAUGUCUCUCUCCCCCCUCUUUAUAUCCCACCGGGAAACCCAAGCAACGGCUUUGGUAGGUCGACAAGUGCCCCAUUUCCUUUGCGGUUUUCCACUACGCAGGAUGUGGGGGCGGAGAUCCAGGCAUUAUCAUCAUGAUACAACAGUCAAAGCGGAACCGACUGGCCAUCUCCCUAUCUUUACGACAGUGAUGACGGGAUGUGACAAAGCGAGUGGCAGCGACGCCUAGGUUCCUAUGGCUAGCAAUAAAUGAUUUGAAGAAGACUGGACACUGGAGGCCGCGCAGCCAUGAAGCUAUGAAGACGCGACGCCGGAGGCCGUGCAACCGUGAAGCCGCAACAUUGCAAAGACGCAUACCGUGAAGCCAUGAAGGUGAAAGAUGCAAAACCGCUAGAUCGCGGCACCACAAAAUCAGGAGCUACGAAGCCAUAGAGAUGCGUCGCAGGAGGCCGCGUGAUAUGUAGAUUUUGAGGUCGGGCUACCGGGAGAUAGACUGUCUCCAUCACUAAGAAAGAGCCUGCCUGGAUUUCGUUCUCAAGGCAGCAAGACUCCACAACUCCAGACAAGCUCGGGCGCUACCGACGGUACAAUAUACCGAGGGUGUCCCGUCCGCUGGGAAGCUCGAGACUUGGCUGGCUUCAGGGCCCAAGAGGCCUAGCGGCAGCCUUACCCAGCGAUCGGUCCAGGGGUCCAGGCUUGCAGAUAAAACUUAUCCUUGGCGUGCAAGCCAAGAAGCUCUCACGGUGAGGUCGGUUAGGAUCCCUAGCAACCCUAGCUCUCGUCCCCUUUAUAAGGCGAGGCUAGGGAUUGUUCGAGGCAUCUGUUCCAUUGCCCAGACCUCGGUAGCAUUCAUUAUCCUCCACUUGUAACUCCCUCGCACGAGGUGCUCCCACAUCAAUCCAAAACAAAGCAGGAGUAGGGUAUUACCUCGAUCAUGAGGCCCCAAACCUGGGUAAAAACCGCGUGUGAACUCCCUUUACUUCUGACUACGGUCUCCACCCUAACGGGGGCACCGACGGUUUUCUGCACCAUCACUGGUACUCUGGUAGUGAGUUGGAAUAUGUUUAAAUCGUUUGGUUAGCAAUCUAUCUCUCAAGGUUCGGUCCAUUAUAUGUACCCUUGAUCCCCGUGUUGGUCUUCUGCGCCUGUCGGUUGCACGAUAUAUUUAGGAAGUUAGAGUUAUGGAUACAAACCUUGGAAUGCUUAGUAGAACUAAAACCGAGUACAUAAUGUGCGGUUUUAGUACUACUAGGUGUGAGGAGGAGGAGGUUAGCCUUGAUGGGCAGGUGGUGCCUCAGAAGGACUUUCGAUAUUUGGGGUCAAUGCUGCAGGAGGAUGGGGGUAUUGAUGAAGAUGUGAACCAUCGAAUCAAAGCCGGAUGGAUGAAGUGGC